rnacentral:rRNA from 1 species
GACGAACGCUGGCGGCGUGCUUAACACAUGCAAGUCGAACGGAAAGGCCCUGCUUUUGUGGGGUUCUCGAGUGGCGAACGGGUGAGUAACACGUGAGUAACCUGCCCUUGACUUUGGGAUAACUUCAGGAAACUGGGGCUAAUACCGGAUAGGAGCUCCUGCUGCAUGGUGGGGGUUGGAAAGUUUCGGCGGUUGGGGAUGGACUUGCGGCUUAUCAGCUUGUUGGUGGGGUAGUGGCUUACCAAGGCCUUGACGGGUAGCCGGCCUGAGAGGGUGACCGGGCACAUUGGGACUGAGAUACGGACCAGACUGCUACGGGAGGCAGCAGUGGGGAAUAUUGCACAAUGGGCGGAAGCGUGAUGCAGCGACGCCGCGUGCGGGAUGACGGCCUUCGGGUUGUAAACCGCUUUCGCCUGUGACGGAGCGUGAGUGACGGUAAUGGGUAAAGAAGCACCGGCUAACUACGUG